rfam:Gossypium arboreum cultivar AKA8401 contig_113564_1, whole genome shotgun sequence.
UUAAUUAUUCUUGUGACUCGGUUUCGUGGUCCCGAAACCACUCUCCGACUAGGGUCACAUUCGGGGUGUCACAGGAAAGGGGCACCGGAGAGGGUGAGAGCCCCGUCGUGCUCGGACCCUGUUGCACCACGAGACGCUGUCUACAAGUCGGGUUGUUUGGGAAUGCAGCCCUAAUCAGGCAGUAAAUUCUAUCCAAGGCUAAAUAUGGGAAAGAGAUGAUAGCGAACAAGUGCCGCGAGGGAAAGAUGAAAAGGACUUUGAAAAGAGAGUCAAAAGGUGCUUGAAAUUGUUGGGAGGGAAGCGGAUGGGGCAGGCGAUGUGCCCCGGUUAGAUGUAGAAUGGUGAACCGGUUCGUCGAUCAGCUUGGGGCAUGGACCGAUGCGUGAAGAUGUCUUCACCUCGAUCGUGGGAUCCAACACGUGCCGUCUCGGCGUGCUUUGGCACUUGCGUGCUCCGUACGAUGGCCUGCGGGCUCCCGUUCGGCUCGUGUUAAAACAAGAAACAAGGAGUCUGACAUGUGUGCGAGUCAAUGGGUUAGAAAACCCGUAAGGCGCAAGAAAGCUGAUUGGCGGGAUCCCUCGCGGGUGCACUGCUGAUCAAACUUGAUCUUCUAAGAAGGGUUCGAGUGAGAGUAUGUUGUCGAGACUCGAAAGAUGGUGAACUAUGCCUGAGUGGGGCGAAGCCAGAGGAAACUCUGGUGGAGGUCCACAGUGAUACUGUCAUGCAAAUCGUUCAUCUGACUUGGGUAUAGGGGUGAAAGACUAAUCGAACCAUCUAGUAGCUGGUUCCCUGUCCAUUUCUGGUAAGCAGAACUGGCGAAGUGGGAUGAACUAAAUGUCAGGUUAUGGUGCCUAACUGCACGCUAACCUAGAACCCACAAAGGGUGUUGGUCGAUUAAGACAACAGGACAGUGGUCAUGGAAGUCGAAAUCCGCUAAGGAGUGUGUAACAACUUACAUGCCGAAUCAACUAGCCCCGAAAAUGGAUGGCGCAUCAGCGUGUGACCUAUACUCGAUUGUCCAGGUAAGGGCUAGGCCCCGAUGAGUGGAAAGGUGCGACAGUUACCGUAAAACCUGGGGCGCGAGCCCAGACAGAGCGGCCGUCGGUGCAGAUCUUGGUGGUAGUAGCAAAUAUUCAAAUAAGAACUUUAAAGCCCGAAUAGGGGAAAGGUUCCAUGUGAACGUCACUUGCACAUGUGUUAGUCGAGACGCGGUGGAUGACGACAAUGUUAGGGAGUGCAGAGACAACGGUGGGGACCUCAGGAAGGGUUAUCUUUUCUAUUUAAUGGACUGUCCAUCCUGGAAACGGCUUAGUCGAAGAUAGGGUCUAGUGACCGGAAGAGUACCACACGUCGAGUGGUGUCCGUUGUACCCUCGACAGCCAUGAAAAUCUAGAGGACCAAGUACUGUCUGUGCUCGGUCAUACUCAUAACCCCAUCAGGUCUCCAAGGUGAAUAGCCUCUGGUCAAUGGAACAAUAUAGGCAAGCGAAGUCGGGAAAAUGGAUCCGUAACCUCAGGAAAAGGAUUAGCUCUGAGGGUUGGGCAUAGGGGUCUCAGUCCCGAACUCGUCGGCUACCGAUGCACGCUGAGCUGCUGCUGUGGCAAGAGCAGGUCACUGCAUGUCGACCGGGGGAAAGGCUGGGAACGGCUCCCUCGGGGGCCUUUCCCGGGCGAUGAACAAUUGACUCAAAAUUGGUACGGACAUUUGGAAUCAAACUGUUUGAUUAAAACAAAUUAUUGCGAUGGUCUCUGCAGAUGCUCACGCAAUAUGAUUUCUGCCCAGUGCUCUGAAUGUCAAAGUGAAGAAAUUCAAGAAAGCGCGGGUAAACGGCGGGAGUAACUAUAACUCUCUUAAGGUAUCCAAAUGCCUCAUCAUCUAAUUAGUGUCGCGCAUGAACGGAUUAACGAGAUUUCCACUGUCUCUGUCUACUAUCCAGCGAAACCACAACCAAGGGAAUGGGCUUGGUAGAAUCAGCAGGGAAAGAAGACCCUGUUGAGCUUGACUCUAUUCCGAAUUUGUGAAAUGACUUGAGAGAUGUCGGAUAAGUGGGAGCUCUCAGGCGAAAUUGAAAUACCACUACUUUUAACGUUAUUUUACUUAUUUCGUGAAUUGGAGGCGGGGCACGGCCCCUAUUUUUGGACCCUAGGCUGGCUUCGGCCAGCCGAUCCAGGCGGAAGAUAUUGUUAGGUGGAGAGUUUGGCUGGGGUGGCACAUCUGUUAAAAGAUAACACAGGUGUCCUAAGAUGAGCUCAAUGAGAACAGAAAUCUUGUGUGGAACAAAAGGGUAAAAGCUCGUUUGAUUCUGAUUUCCAGUACGAAUACAAACCGUGAAAGCGUGGCCUAUCAAUCAUUUAGACCUUUAGAAUUUGAAGCUAGAGGUGUCAGAAAAGUUACCGUAGGGAUAACUGGCUUGUGGCAGCCAAGUGUUCAUAGCGAUGUCGGCUUUUCCUAUCAUUAUGAAGCAGAAUUCACCAAGUGCUGAUUGUGUAACACCAUGAACUAGGGUUACGAGGCAUUAGUUAACUAAAAACACAAUUCCGAACAAUUAUAUAUAAAAACCAAU